rnacentral:sRNA from 1 species
GCUGGGCGUGGUGGUGCAUGCCUGUAAUCCCAGUAGCUCAGGAGGCUGAGGCAGGAGGAUCGUGAGUUCAAAGCCAGUCUCAGCAACAGUGAGGCACUAAGCAACUCAGUGAGAACCUGUCUCUA